rnacentral:misc_RNA from 1 species
GACAUCUCAAAUAUCUAGUUAAGAAGAUUAGUUGUGUCAAGAAAUAGUAAGACAAUGGCACUUUCAUCUUACUUGGGUGUUCUUGCAUAUUAUAAUGAUAUCCUGUUCUUUUCAUGCUUUGAUUUACAAAAAUUUAUGGGGUUCUACUUUCCUCUUAAGGAAAUGAAUAUUUGAAGUACACUUUUCAGUUUUCAGUGGGGAUGUGUUUGUGUAUUAAUUAAUUGUUUGAGCCCUUACACGGAUAUGCACAUGCAUGUAUGUAUGUUUUCAUAAAUGGUUGCAAAAUCUGUUGGCAAGAUGCAUUUCUUGGAUACAUCCAGCUAUGUUUUAUUAGUAAGGCAGUAAAACUCUACUCACUCUGUUAAGGAGUAGUGAAUUUUGAAUAUCAUAUUUGUCCUUUUUCAUACAUUGGAAAUUCAUAAAUAGCUGAUAUAUUAUGAAUUUUUGCGUGAAAUGUGUUUUUAUUGUUUAUUCUAACUUGUUUUAUUAAUUAUUCCAUAAAUGAUUGGUUAAUGUGGAAAGAAACUUGG